CCUCCCGGCGGGGUGUGGCCUCGGCGCCCGGCGGCGGGUGUGGCCUCGGCGCCCGGAGUGCUGGGGCUUCCCGGCGGGGUGUGGCCUCGGCGCCGGGGGUCGCGGGCUGCCACCUGCGGCCCAGACCGGCCGCCAACGCUCCGCCCCCAGGGCUGGAAGGCGGGUCCGGGACUAAAUCAGCGGCCAUCACCGGGGCCCCGACUUUGUGUCCAACAGCGCGCAGACGGCCUCUCAUUUACCGCUCGCAGCAACCCCGGAGACGGGUGUCCCCCCGCUGGGUUCCCAUCCUGCUGAGGCGAACAGCGGGCCUCGGAGAGGCUGGGUGACCCGGUGUCGCACCAGCGGUCGCGGGCAGCACGGGGAUUCCGAGGCCUCAGCGCCUGUUAGAAUCACACGCUGCACAUCACACACAGGGUUCCGGGGUUGGCCACUCAAAAUACAUUCUGAAUUUCAGGUUAGCACCAACAUUUCCUCAGUGUAAGCAUGUCCCGGAUAUUGCAGGGGCAUACUUAUACUGAGAAGGUACUCGUGGGGCGCCUGGCUGGCUCAAUCGGUGCAGCAUGCGAUCUUGACCGUGGGGUGGUGAGUUCGAGCCCCAGGCUGGGUGAAGAAAUUACCAACCCCAGGACUGCGGAUGGGGAGCCACUGGCCUCUAGUGGGUAGAAGCCAGGGAUGCUGCUCAACUUCUUACACUCCACAGCAAAGUGAUCUGAUCCCAAAUGUCAAUAAUGCUGAACAUCCUGGUUUAGAGCACGACUUCCCAGCCUACCAGAUGGUAACCUUUCAUUGGGUGGGCACCUGGGCGGCUCAGUCGGUGAAGCGCCUGCCUUGGGCUCAGGUCAUGAUCCCGGGGUCCUGGGAUCGAGUCCCACAUCGGGCUCCCUGCUCCGUGGGGAGCCUACUUCUCCCUCUCCCUCUGCUGCUCCCCCUUCUGCUCUCUCUGUCAAAUAAAUAAAUAAAAUCUUUAAAAAAAUAAAUUAUCUUUUAGCCUGAAGAACAGGAGGAAUAGAUAGUCCAUCUUGAAGCAUAGUUUGAGAUUUGAGUAUUUAGAAUUUGUCUGCUAGACUAUGACCUGUCAGGAAACACUUAGAAGUCUUUGGAAUUAAAAAAAAAAAAAAAAAAAAAGAUAUCCUGGGUGUUCUCCGCAAUGUUAGUUUUUUUUUUUUUCUUUUCCUGAAACCAUGUUUUAUUAUGCAUCUACCCAGCAUGAGACCAGGGGGCAGGUGCAUCGAACUGCAGGUUGGCUUUCUUCUUGGCAUGCACCUCCAGGAUGCCCUCCAUGUUGUCCUCAUGUGUGAGUUCGUGGCGCACCUGAGCAGUGCGAUCAUGCCCCCUCCACACACACGGCCUUGCAUGCGGCCCCACUGAAGUCAUCUGCACGGCGGGCCCGCUCCUUGUAGUUCACAUCAGGACUGAUGUUCACCUUGUGGGAGUGGAUCUGCAGGAUUCUGGCCCGGGCCUCCUCGCUGGGCAUGGGGAAUUCAAUCUUCAGGUCCAGACCGCCUGAGCGGAGAGUGCAGGGUCCUGGAUGUCCACCCUGUUGGUGGCUGCAGUCACCUUUACCUGAGUGUUGGGUCGGAACCCAUCCAGUGGGUUCAGAAGCUCCAACAGUGUCCUCUGCACCUCCCAGUCCCAGGCCUUCUCACUAAGCAGACUUGCUGGGGAUCUGAUGAGCUCCUCUCCAUCCCUUUCCUGGUCUUCAAGCUAUUUCACAACUCUGUAAGUUUUGGGAAAUUGAUAGUAAUGCAAAUAACUCUUGUCCGUAUACAAGAAAAUAGGCUUUCCCUGCUGAAAGCUUGGCCCCACAGCCUCCCAUCUAUGAGCAGAGCUCAGUCCUGCAUGCCUAACUGGCUGCUCUUUUAGAUUCUCCUUUGAACUAUUUUUUUUUAAACACCUACUGGUUCCCUUCUUCAUUAAUGAGUUAAAUAAAAUCUUGGACAUAUGUUC